CAAAGUCAGAGGGGCAACGUAGAACUUUUUUUUUUGAGGGCUGAGAGCAAAUGGCAAUUUAUAAAAUCCUUUGAAGUGUCGAAAAUCAGUAAUUGUAGUCAAAGUGCAAAUUGAUUGCUCGCCUCUCUCCCUUUCUCUCUCUCUCUCUCGCUCUCUCUCUCUCUCUCACUCUAUCUAUAUCCCUCCGACACACACUUACACAUGUAUACGUUUUCCCUCUCGCUCUUGGGCAACCGAUUCGUGCCGAAAAAUCAGUGUGGCAGACAUGUUUUAUUGAGUGUAAUUUGUAGUUGCAAAUUAAUGGCCGCACUUCACUUUUAAUUAAAAUGCAUCAAGAAGCGAACUAGAACAAGGCAGCCAAGGGACAGCAUGAAAAAGUAUGCGAUUGUAUGCCCCAAGAACAAAAUUAGCUUUUAACAAAAUUCCUAGGCUACAUAUGGAAUAAUUGGUUCGGUUUAUUUCGUUAUAAGCUCAAUUAAUUGAUUUUGUUGUACCUCACAG
ensembl:ncRNA lncRNA:CR44648 long non-coding RNA:CR44648